ACUCCAUCGGGUGGUUUCACAUGUCCGUGAGUGAUUGGGUAAAUCUUCUUCCAGGAUUCACAUGUUGAGGAGUUAGUGGUGGAUUGUGCAUACAAACUCAGUACACAUAAUUCUAUUUCCGGAGGUAAACUCAGAGGUACUGUGCCCAGAUGGGGUCUGGCACCUCCGCAUACAUAACAAUUAGUCUUAUUGUGUGAGUUGGCGUUGUACCUCAUCCAUUCUAGCCAUAAAUUGGUAUCUGAAAACCCUGUUUCUACUGCCAUGGUAUCUUCAAAGGUGGGGUUAGCUAUGGCUACCAUGUCAUGUAGGGUUUUGAUGUGUGGUUUCAAUGGGUUAAUGACCAUAUGUGUGGUUCCCACCCAAUCAGAGGAAUUUAGCAUAUCUUGCAAGUAAAAGGUCCCUAAUGCGUUGUGUGAGCCACCUCCCUUCCAGUACAUUCCCAUCACAUACUCCCCUGCAUCCCUUGGACUAGGGUGUUCUAUGUUUAAGGUGAGUUUAAUGGGAGUUGACCCUAUGGGUUUACUCAGGGUCAUUCUAGAGAGCAAGGGUUUCUCGUCUUUGUCAAGCUUGUCUAAUGCAACUUGGGGUCUGUAGCCCCAUGGUCUACCUGUGUUCCACCCGGCAGCUUUCCAUGAACUACAAUGGUGUCCCCAACCUUCGCCAGUCACACAAAUGUAUGGAUCCUUUUUGUUAGGUAUGUCCUUAUAUACAGCUGCAUGUUGUGUUUGUGGAAAU